ACUGGUUUCCUGAAUUCUAUCAAGCAAGCUUCCCUGACCUCCACUUCCUCCUCCCAGGAAGAAAUGGUUUUCUUAAAGGGUUUCACCUAGAACCUGCGCAUAAAACUAUUGCUCUAUUAAUACAGAAAAGAGAGCUUUAUUAGAUCUGAAACUAUAGUCUACAAAACUAUGCACAGCAGCCUGUGAUUUAUUUUUACUAUUUCAAAGAGCCUAAGAGAAAUUUACUAUUUCUCAUAAUGAGGAUGAAUGGAGUAAACUAACUGUUAAGUUUAUUUUAAAUAAGAUUUUUUUUUUUUUUUUUUUUUUUUUUUUUUGUCUUUUUGUGCCUGCACCAGGGCACAUGGAGGUUCCCAGGCUAGGGGAUCGAAUCGGAGCUGUACCACUGGCCUACGCCAGAGCCACAGCAACGCGGGAUCUGAGCCUCAUCUGAAACCUACACACAGUUUACGGCAACGCCGUUCCUUAAACUCACUGAACAGGGCCAGGGAUCAAACCUGCAUCCUCAUGGAUACUAGGCAGAUUUCGUUUCUGCUGAGCCAAGACAGGAACUCCAGAAAUCAAAUUAUCUUGAUUGCAUUAUAUUAUCUCAGAUUUUUGAUCAUAUGAAGUUCUAAAUAUUUUCAUUAUUAAAAACCAGGAAAAUUAACCAUUGAUUUAUACAAGCAUUUUAGUGUAAGAAGCUUUCAAAAUAUGUGAUGCUUUGGGUUAAAAAACAACUAGAGUAGUACGAGAUCAAAAGAUUGGUAACUGUUCUCCAUGUCUAUUAAAAUAGUCGAUUAAAUGUUAGUUCUUUUAUAAGACAAGAUUCUUGGAAUCGGAAGAACUGGAGUGCAUCCAGGCUAUGCUGGUUGAUUGUUUUGAGAGCUUGAAUAAAUUAUAUAACCUCACUGAAUAUCGGUUACUGUCUUUUUAAAUGAGGAGAAUGUCAGUAUUGCUUAUUUUUGAUUUGGUCGCACCUUACCUAAUUCCAUGAAAGAUCUAUAUAUAAUAUCAUAUAAGAGAAAGAUUACAUAUAAGUGGAAACUACUCAAAAAUUGGUUUUACCCUAGGGAAUAUUUUUAUUGCUCUCAAGGUUAUUCUAGUCCCAGAAAAAAUACUUUUGAAAAAAAUUAUGAUUUGUUACUAGCACAUGGACAGUAUCUGUGAUUAUCACCAGGUUUGUGGCUUGUUAGGAGCUUUCUGCAUCCAUUGGCACUUCUUAAGGAAAUAUAGGUUAGACUAGAAAACAAUGAAGAGGUUUACAAUGUUAAUUUCAUGUUUUAUGAUAAAAAUUAUAAAUAAAUGAAAGCAAAAAACAAACAAACAAAUAAAACCCAUGUCCUUUGCAAGGUUAAGCAAUCUUGGAUUAACCGUGGAUUACCCUAGCAAUUUUUAUUUAUCUAGACCAGGAACAGCAAACUCUGGACCUUGGGCAAAAAAUCUGACCAAUGCCUAGAUUUGUUAAGUCCCAGAUCUAAGAAUGGUUUUUAUGUUUUUAACGGUUGGAAACAAUCAAAAGUACAAUAAAAUUGGAUACAUAUGAAAUUAUAAGAGAUUCAAAUUUUAGCAACCAUAAAUAAAUUAUUACUGGAACACAGCCUCAUUUAUAUAUGUGUCCCCAGUGGCAGUGAGAAUUGUGACAGAGACUAGCUCUCAAAGCUUAAAAUAUAUAUAUACUUCCCAGCACUUUACCAAGAUGUUUGCCCUGGUCUACAUGGCACAGAAUUGAACCCUUUCCACUAAAGACUUUCUUACUGUUUAUUUUGAGUCAUAAAGUAAAUACGACUUUGGAGGUGAAAACUUACACUUAAUGCAUGUGAAAUCUUUUUAAUCAUUAUGAUGGGACCUUUUCUUUUCAGACAUUUAAUAUGUGGAAGCACUUAACUAGAAAUUAGAAAGUUUUAGACAAAUGGUAUAAAAGAAAUAGUUAUGAAAUGUUACUGAAAUAAAUUUUGACUUAAAAUGGAUUAAGUGACUGAUACUCUAAAAUUAAAAAAAAUAUUUUUAAUAUUUUAAGUUAUAUAUUUAAGUGUGUAUAUAUGUGGAUUAUAUACAUACACACACACAUAUAUAUAUUUUACAUAUAUACAUAAACACAUUUUUGUCCCCUACAUACGCAAAGAAUACAUACAUAAGAACACAGGCAGGACACAUUAAAUACUAGCUCCAGCCUCUGGUAUAAUUACAGUGCUAGUGCCUGAAUCUCUACUCUGCUCCCUUGUGGCUACUUGGGGAAUUACAUUGUCCUUGCCUUAGUUUCUUCAUUCUUGAAAUGUGGAGGAUAAUAAUUAUAAUAAUAAACACCUACUUCAGAGAGUUGAUCUAGAGAAUAAAUAAGGUACACAGAAAGCACAUAGGGCAGAGAGCCCAUAUUAAGCACACAGAGCACUAUUAAGCCCUGAACAAUUUUAGUUAACAAUGAUUCUUCUGGUCGUUGUUGUGUUUUCUUUUCCCCACAUCAGAAGGGUCUACAAAUACAAGAAAACACCUUCAGGACAUGUCAUCUGUAUGGUGAGUCCAGGAAAGAAAUGAGUCCAUUAACCUGAAUAUUUACUCAGUAAAAAUAUUUAUGUGUGUCAUGAAUGCUACGGAUGGUGUGGAAAGGACAACAGCUGCUAGAUUUUCCCCUAUCAUCUUUAGCAAUGUUGAUUGCCCUGAAAAUGUCUGCUAGUUAAUCGAAGGAAACUUUUGUAACAAGGAAGGAGAAAAGAACUAUGGACAUUUUCCAUGUUCUUUUAGGAGUUAUGGCAAUGAAAAAGUUUUACCUGUUCUUAGAACAAGAUUGUUUUAUCAUUCAUCUAAAAGUGCGGAGCAUAUAAUAGUAAAUUAUAAAAUUGUAUUAGUAAGGUUUAGAAAAGUAUGAGGACAUACUAAUAACCAAGCCCUACAGAAUACAAAAAUAAUUUUUAAAAGUCAUAAAAUUUUGAAAAUUUGAAAAAAAAUGUUUGCAGAAAUAUAUGGGGGAGGAGAUGCUUUUUGGUGUUUUAUUUCAUUUAUUCUGCUUUUGCGUAUUUCACUAUCUAGUGCUUCCAUGUAUGCAUGUAAUGUUGCAUCUAUCACAUUCUCCUGCUGGAUUAGAUUUUGGCCAAUGAUGAAUAAUAAAAUAUGACUAAGUUGUAAUGUAUUAGAUGACGAGCCAUUAUGAAGCUUGAUUUAUAAAACUCUUCAAUAUAUAGCUGAAUGAUUAUAGCAAUUGUUUAUAGACAAUAUUGUAAUGACUAUUUAGGGUAGAACUUGUCUUUGAAUGAUGAGUUUCCUAUUCUUGAUGAGCCUUCAUUACUAGUGUAUCUUUUCCCAAAAUGUGUCUCUGCUGCAGUGUUGCUACUAACCUAUACAGAAGCAAAUAAACAGAGAGGCUUGAAAUUGCUUUCCUUGCAAAUGGUACUUGUAAGGCUAUCACUUGCAGUUGCCCAUGAACCUGACUGGAAAACAGCUCCCUACACUAAUGUAAAACUUUCUCUAAAUGAUAAGAGCAGUAUACUGUGCCUAACUGUUUGUGCAAACAGCAUGCUUUGUAUUGAACACCUGCUUUUCUUCUGGGGGACUGAAUCUGUUAUUUGCUGGAUAGAAGGUGCCUACUAACCCAGCAUAAAUAUCUUUGACUUCUAGUCUCAGCCAGCUUCCCUAGUAGAUGACUUUUCUCUUGUGUUGCCACAAUACGCUGCUGGAGGACUUAAGUGCCUUCUGUGUGAUUCCAGUAGGAGAAGAUUCUUGGAAGCCGCCACCCAGUGUUCUCUGGAUUUCACCUUACCUGUGUUUUCUCUCUGUUGAUUUUCUUUGGACUCUUUUGCAGCAUGCUGAAAAUCUGGUGGGGACGAAUCCCAGAAGAGUUGUUUUAUAAUUCUAGAUAAACUUUGAAAUUGAGUUUACGUUUAUCACCACAGAUUGGGAGCACAUGAUGAAAAUUUCUUGAAGGAAAUACAAAAGGUGUUAACAGUCACUGAAUAUUCUGAGCUAUUCAGAAAUGCUGCAGUGAUGUAUUUAAUAGUUGUAUUAUCUAAGUUUAAUGUUAGGUCUGUGUGAGCUUAAGGCCGGUGCACCAACCGUUAUGCUGUACAAAUUCUCCUUAAAAAAUCAGAGAGAAGAGUUGCCUUCUGUUUGUUCUAAAUAUGUUGUGAUAAGUGUUUAUGGAUUUAAGUGCUGCCGAGCAUAAUGACAACUCAGUGUGCAGAAAGGUCAUGCCCAAGAGAACUGUACAGACAUAAGGCAGCUGAUAAGUAUGGCCCAGAGCAUUUGCAUAAAUUUUUGUCACCUCCUCAUAUGGGUCACUGUCACGCAUUUUCCAACUUGACAGGUUACAUAUUGGGUGGUUGCCAAAUGAUUAGAACACAGCUAUCCUGGAUUUAUAAGGGAAGUGCUCAAAAUGGGAGAGGGAGGUCUCUCCCUUCAGCCUUUGUUCCUUUAGACAUUUGCAUCUAAAACUUCUGCAUUUUCCUUCAUGACUUUCGACCCCACAAUUUUCCCCAUGGAGUUAACUAAUAAUGAUAUAACCAUUCGUCAUCAAUGCUUGUAGGCAAAGACCAUACUAUUCAUUUUCUAGAAAAAAAUAAAUAUAAGCAAAGUAGCUAAGGAAGCAAGAGAAGAAUCUAUUUACAGAGUUUUGUCUCUCCUGUAAUAUAACAUGCACUAAAUAUUUAAAGAGGCAGGGUUCAAAACAGCAAUUCAUAUAUAGCUGUUGUUCCCUCCCAAGAGAGAAUAAAGAAAAAGUGAAAAUGUCAACUGUAACAAGAAAAGUUAUCCUAGGAGCUCCUGUUGUGGCUCAGUGGGUUAAGAACCUCACUAGUAUCCAUGGGGAUGCAGGUUUGAUCCAUGGCCUCGCUCAAUGGGUUAAGGAUCCGGCGUUGUUGCAAGCCACAGUGUUUGUUGUAGACACAGCUCAGAUCCUGCAUGGCUGUGAUAGGCUGGCAGGAGAAGCUCUAAUUUGACCCCUUUCCUGAGAACCUCCAUAUGCCAAGGGUGCAGCCCUAGAAAGAAAAAAGAAAAAAAAAGUUGUCCUAGAGAUGAAAGACUCAAAGGAAAGGAUAUAAAAGGAGAAUGGAAAGUAUAUAUUAAAAGGUUUUAGCUACAAGUAUUAAAUAACCAACAUUAGAUAAGUUUUGAAGAAAGCUAAAAAAAUAAUUCUGGUGGUCCGUAGAAGUAUUUUCUUCAUAGAAAAUACAGAGAGUUAAAAGACAAAAAAAA
rnacentral:lncRNA from 9 species